rnacentral:rRNA from 1 species
CCUACGGGAGGCAGCAGUGAGGAAUAUUGGUCAAUGGGCGGGAGCCUGAACCAGCCAAGCCGCGUGAGGGAAGAAGGUCCAGCGUAUCGUAAACCUCUUUUGUCAGGGAACAAAGGCGGGGACUAGUCCCCUGAUGAGGGUACCUGAUGAAAAAGCAUCGGCUAACUCCGCGACAGCAGCCGCGGCAAGACGGAGGGUGCGAGUGUUAGCCGGAUUUAUUGGGUUUAAAGGGUGCGCAGGCGGCCUGUUAAGUCGGCGGUAAAAGCCCGGGGUUCAACCCCGGCGGGCAGUUGAAAUUGGCGGGCUGGAGUUGGAGAGGAGUACGCGGAAUGCGCGGUGUAGCGGUGAAAUGCUU